CGGCCUACGGGGCGCAGCAGUAGGGAAUCUUCCACAAUGGAGGGAACUCUGAUGCAGCGACGCCGCGCGAGGGAAGAAGGUUUUCGGAUUGUAAACCUCUGUCUUCGGUGACGAAACGAGACGGUAGCCGAGGAGGAAGCCACGGCUAACUACGUGCCAGCAGCCGCGGUAAUACGUAGGUGGCAAGCGUUGUCCGGAAUUACUGGGUGUAAAGGGAGCGUAGGCGGGAAAGCAAGUUGAAUGUUUAAGGUACGGGCUCAACCUGUACAAGCGUUCAAAACUGUUUUUCUUGAGUGGAGUAGAGG
rnacentral:rRNA from 1 species